GGGUUGUGAGGUUAAGCGACUAAGCGUACACGGUGGAUGCCCUGGCAGUCAGAGGCGAUGAAGGACGUGCUAAUCUGCGAUAAGCGUCGGUAAGGUGAUAUGAACCGUUAUAACCGGCGAUUUCCGAAUGGGGAAACCCAGUGUGUUUCGACACACUAUCAUUAACUGAAUCCAUAGGUUAAUGAGGCGAACCGGGGGAACUGAAACAUCUAAGUACCCCGAGGAAAAGAAAUCAACCGAGAUUCCCCCAGUAGCGGCGAGCGAACGGGGAGGAGCCCAGAGCCUGAAUCAGUGUGUGUGUUAGUGGAAGCGUCUGGAAAGGCGCGCGAUACAGGGUGACAGCCCCGUACACAAAAAUGCACAUGCUGUGAGCUCGAUGAGUAGGGCGGGACACGUGGUAUCCUGUCUGAAUAUGGGGGGACCAUCCUCCAAGGCUAAAUACUCCUGACUGACCGAUAGUGAACCAGUACCGUGAGGGAAAGGCGAAAAGAACCCCGGCGAGGGGAGUGAAAAAGAACCUGAAACCGUGUACGUACAAGCAGUGGGAGCCUCUUUUAUGGGGUGACUGCGUACCUUUUGUAUAAUGGGUCAGCGACUUAUAUUCUGUAGCAAGGUUAACCGAAUAGGGGAGCCGAAGGGAAACCGAGUCUUAACUGGGCGUUAAGUUGCAGGGUAUAGACCCGAAACCCGGUGAUCUAGCCAUGGGCAGGUUGAAGGUUGGGUAACACUAACUGGAGGACCGAACCGACUAAUGUUGAAAAAUUAGCGGAUGACUUGUGGCUGGGGGUGAAAGGCCAAUCAAACCGGGAGAUAGCUGGUUCUCCCCGAAAGCUAUUUAGGUAGCGCCUCGUGAAUUCAUCUCCGGGGGUAGAGCACUGUUUCGGCAAGGGGGUCAUCCCGACUUACCAACCCGAUGCAAACUGCGAAUACCGGAGAAUGUUAUCACGGGAGACACACGGCGGGUGCUAACGUCCGUCGUGAAGAGGGAAACAACCCAGACCGCCAGCUAAGGUCCCAAAGUCAUGGUUAAGUGGGAAACGAUGUGGGAAGGCCCAGACAGCCAGGAUGUUGGCUUAGAAGCAGCCAUCAUUUAAAGAAAGCGUAAUAGCUCACUGGUCGAGUCGGCCUGCGCGGAAGAUGUAACGGGGCUAAACCAUGCACCGAAGCUGCGGCAGCGACGCUUAUGCGUUGUUGGGUAGGGGAGCGUUCUGUAAGCCUGUGAAGGUGUGCUGUGAGGCAUGCUGGAGGUAUCAGAAGUGCGAAUGCUGACAUAAGUAACGAUAAAGCGGGUGAAAAGCCCGCUCGCCGGAAGACCAAGGGUUCCUGUCCAACGUUAAUCGGGGCAGGGUGAGUCGACCCCUAAGGCGAGGCCGAAAGGCGUAGUCGAUGGGAAACAGGUUAAUAUUCCUGUACUUGGUGUUACUGCGAAGGGGGGACGGAGAAGGCUAUGUUGGCCGGGCGACGGUUGUCCCGGUUUAAGCGUGUAGGCUGGUUUUCCAGGCAAAUCCGGAAAAUCAAGGCUGAGGCGUGAUGACGAGGCACUACGGUGCUGAAGCAACAAAUGCCCUGCUUCCAGGAAAAGCCUCUAAGCAUCAGGUAACAUCAAAUCGUACCCCAAACCGACACAGGUGGUCAGGUAGAGAAUACCAAGGCGCUUGAGAGAACUCGGGUGAAGGAACUAGGCAAAAUGGUGCCGUAACUUCGGGAGAAGGCACGCUGAUAUGUAGGUGAAGUCCCUCGCGGAUGGAGCUGAAAUCAGUCGAAGAUACCAGCUGGCUGCAACUGUUUAUUAAAAACACAGCACUGUGCAAACACGAAAGUGGACGUAUACGGUGUGACGCCUGCCCGGUGCCGGAAGGUUAAUUGAUGGGGUUAGCGGUAACGCGAAGCUCUUGAUCGAAGCCCCGGUAAACGGCGGCCGUAACUAUAACGGUCCUAAGGUAGCGAAAUUCCUUGUCGGGUAAGUUCCGACCUGCACGAAUGGCGUAAUGAUGGCCAGGCUGUCUCCACCCGAGACUCAGUGAAAUUGAACUCGCUGUGAAGAUGCAGUGUACCCGCGGCAAGACGGAAAGACCCCGUGAACCUUUACUAUAGCUUGACACUGAACAUUGAGCCUUGAUGUGUAGGAU
rnacentral:rRNA from 1 species